GGGCCCGCACAAGCGGUGGAGCAUGUGGUUUAAUUCGAUGAUACGCGAGGAACCUUACCAGGGCUUAAAUGCAUAAUGACAGGGGUAGAGAUACCCUUUUCUUCGGACAUUUUGCAAGGUGCUGCAUGGUUGUCGUCAGCUCGUGCCGUGAGGUGUCAGGUUAAGUCCUAUAACGAGCGCAACCCCUGUGGUUAGUUGCCAGCGAGUAAUGUCGGGAACUCUAGCCAGACUGCCGGUGCAAACCGCGAGGAAGGUGGGGAUGACGUCAAAUCAUCACGGCCCUUACGCCCUGGGCCACACACGUGCUACAAUGGCAGGUACAGCAAGCAGCCACUCCGCGAGGAGGAGCGAAUCUGUAAAGCCUGUCACAGUUCGGAUUGGGGUCUGCAACUCGACCCCAUGAAGUCGGAAUCGCUAGUAAUCG
rnacentral:rRNA from 1 species